rnacentral:rRNA from 1 species
GACAGAGGGGGCAAGCGUUGCUCGGAAUCACUGGGCGUAAAGGGCGCGUAGGCGGGAUGGCAAGUCAGUCGUGAAAUCUCUCGGCUCAACCGAGAAACGUCGGCUGAUACUGCCGUUCUUGAGGGAUGCAGAGGAGACUGGAAUUCCAGGUGUAGCGGUGAAAUGCGUAGAGAUCUGGAGGAACACCGAUGGCGAAGGCAGCCUUCUGGGCCAUCACUGACACUCAUGCACGAAAGCGUGGGGAGCAAACAGG